UGGCGAACGGGUGAGUAAUACGUGAGUGACCUACCUUUGACUCUGGGAUAAGCCUGGGAAACUGGGUCUAAUACCGGAUAUGACCAAUCUCCGCAUGGGGUGUUGGUGGAAAGCGUUAUGGAGUGGUUUUAGAUGGGCCCACGGCCUAUCAGCUUGUUGGUGAGGUAAUGGCUUACCAAGGCGACGACGGGUAGCCGGCCUGAGAGGGUGACCGGCCACACUGGGACUGAGACACGGCCCAG
rnacentral:rRNA from 1 species